ensembl:lncRNA
CUCAUAUUAAAUACAUGAGUACUACUCUGUCUAAAUCGUGUGAAUCCCAAUGUCCAAGGAUGCUUCUAGCUCAAAGUAAGUGAAGAGGCUUAUCAAAGAAUUCAUAUCGUAAGGGCUGGGGAGCUCUGCCAAAAGCUGCUUAAUGAAGCACUGAAUUGAGAAGCUCGGAAGGACCUUCAGAGAUUUAUGCAAGCUUUCAUGAAUCUUUCAGGUGAAUACAGACUACCACUGAAUUUCCCAAUGAAGAAAGGCAUUAAGUCAUACCUCAGAAAAUGCUUCAAAGGGCUUGCCCAACACCUCUUCAAGGAAUGUUGAAAGCAACCCCCUCUCCAAGCACUGUUCACUUG